UACGGGGGGGGUAAGCGUUGUUCGGAAUUACUGGGCGUAAAGGGCUCGUAGGCGGCCAACUAAGUCAGACGUGAAAUCCCUCAGCUUAACUGGGGAACUGCGUCUGAUACUGGAUGGCUUGGAUUCGGGAGAGGAAUGCGGAAUUCCAGGUGUAGCGGUGAAAUGCGUAGAUAUCGUAAGGAAGACCAGUGGCGAAGGCGAAUCUCUGGACAGUUACUGACACUGAGGCACGAAGGCCAGGGGAGCAAACGGG
rnacentral:rRNA from 1 species